GUAACGCGUGGGUAACCGUGCCUCAUACAGGGGGAGUAACAGUUAGAAAUAGACUGCUAAUACCGCAUAAGCGCACAGGAUCGCAUGGUCUGGUGUGAAAAACUACCGGUGGUAUGAGAUGGACCCGCGUCUGAUUAGCUAGUUGGAGGGGUAACGGCCCACCAAGGCGACGAUCAGUAGCCGGCCUGAGAGGGUGAACGGCCACAUUGGGACUGAGACACGGCCCAGACUCCUACGGGAGGCAGCAUG
rnacentral:rRNA from 1 species